rnacentral:tRNA from 1 species
GGGGGUAUAGCUCAGUGGUAGAGCGCGUGCUUAGCAUGCACGAGGCCCUGGGUUCAAUCCCCAGUACUUCCA